GGGGGGUACGUGUCCCUUUCUAGGCCACCGUGGAGGUGAGGGAGGUCUGGCCUCCCUGAACCAGAGGGUUAGAAGAGAGAUUUUUCCAUGACUUUAAGAAGAGAACUGCAGCCCUUGCUCAAUUUGAACUUCUCCCUGCGGCCCGCUCUGGCUUUCUGGGUAUUUCUGUGAUGUUGUGAAACACCGAAACUUGCAGUGUCUCCUUUCUCUUCCUCUUCCCCCCCCACCCCAGGCCCUGCCACCGUCUUUUCCCUUUCCCUUCCUCGUGCCCUCCAGCGACCACUGCCCUCCAUCCCUCCAGUCCCUCCCGUCCCUCCGCGGGCCCUAUUGUGGCUGUGCGGCAGGAGCAAACAGAGGAGGUGAGCGCUUCGGACCCCUGCAGGAAGGAACCCAGUCACCGUGCUAUAUAAGAAGCCCACACCAGCCCGCCCGGAGAGACCAAUGGGAAAACCACAUGGAGAGGCACUGAGGACCCAACCUGCAGUCAGCACCAGCCACCAGAUUUGUGGGUGAAUGAGCCUUCAGUGAUUCCAAAGCCCUGCCAUGGAUGCUUCCAGCUGAGGCCCCAGAUGACCCAGGGCAGAGACAAGUUCUUCCUGCUGUGUCCUGUCCGGAUUCCUGACCCGGAGACUCUGCAAACAUAAUAAAGUGGUUGUUUGAUGUAUAGCCACGAUAACUGGAAGCAGGCAGUACUGCGGGAGACAGCUUGGAUGUCGCCUCGUCUAGGAGCCCCCUGGCCUCCCUCUGAGCUGUGCUGGGAUUUCCUCCUCAGCACCCCAAGUAUCUGCUUGUUUUUGUCUUCUCUGUGCCAUCC